GUUUUAAUAAUUUAAUAAAAAUAUUAGUUUUGUAAACUAAACUUAGGAAUCAUUAAUCCUUUAAAACA
rnacentral:tRNA from 1 species